GAACCCCAAGACAAGCAGGCUUUAGGACUCUGUAUCAUCUCCCUGCUAAGAAACUGCUGCAGUCACAGAAAGGAAGAUUGAAGCCUGUAGGGAAUCCUUCAGCUGCGGACUGUGAAGUUGGGCAUCAGAAGACUAACCCCCAUUCACCACACCCUGGAGAAAUAAGCCCUUCUUGCUGGGAAAGAAACUGAGUCAAUCUACAUUAGGAAACACAGAAAGAGAAAGUUUGGUGAAGAGAAAAAAAACAAACUGUGAAACUCAGUUGGAGGAAGUCCAUAAAUAUUUGUUAAAUAGUGUGGAAUUUUAUGUAAGAAGAAAUAGGAACCAGAGCGAUCAUGUGAGUUCCUCAAGCUAUCAGAAGAAAUAUCACUCCUUAUUGUGAGAACAAUAUGUAACUCUGUUUAUUGAAAGGACCCUCAUGAAUGCCUGUUAGGAAGCUAAGUAAUGCAAGUCACUCUCUGAGCUGUCACUUCAUCAGAGGAUGCUUUGGUUGCGGAAUGGAGCAGAUGUUCUGCUACAUUUGUGUACUUUAAACACACUGAAAGCAUAAAGCCAGACUAAGAGCACUUGUUGGUGAAUGGAAGAUGCAAGUAAAGAUGAAAAGGCUAGAGCCACAGGAAGAAUGACAGCUAGCAGGUUGUGGAGACCAUUUGGCUGGAAUACAUUUAAAGGACCCAAAUGGUAAUGGUAACAAUGUCUUGCACAAUAGCCAGU